rnacentral:rRNA from 3 species
GCGGCAACAGCUCAAAUUUGAAAUCUGGCGCAAGCCCGAGUUGUAAUUUGUAGAGGAUGCUUCUAGGCAGCGGCCGUUCUAAGUUCCUUGGAACAGGACGUCAUAGAGGGUGAGAAUCCCGUAUGUGACCGGCACGCACCUUGUACGUAGCUCCUUCGACGAGUCGAGUUGUUUGGGAAUGCAGCUCUAAAUGGGAGGUAAAUUUCUUCUAAAGCUAAAUACCGGCUGGAGACCGAUAGCGCACAAGUAGAGUGAUCGAAAGAUGAAAAGCACUUUGGAAAGAGAGUUAAAAAGCACGUGAAAUUGUUGAAAGGGAAGCGCCUGCAACCAGACUUCGCGGCAGUGUUCCGCCGGUCUUCUGACCGGUCUAUUCUCUGUCGCGAGGCCAUCAUCGUCUGGGGCCGCCGGAUAAGACUGGAGGAAUGUAGCUCCCCUCGGGGAGUGUUAUAGCUUCCAGUGAUGCGGCGUGUCUCGGGCGAGGUCCGCGCUUCGGCAAGGAUGAUGGCGUAAUGGUUGUCGGCGGCCCGUCUUGAAACACGGACCAAGGAGUCUAACAUCUAUGCGAGUGUUCGGGUGUCAAACCCCUACGCGUAAUGAAAGUGAACGGAGGUGGGAACUUUUUGUGCACCAUCGACCGAUCCUGAUGUCCUCGGAUGGAUUUGAGUAAGAGCAUAGCUGUUGGGACCCGAAAGAUGGUGAACUAUGCCUGAAUAGGGUGAAGCCAGAGGAAACUCUGGUGG